AUUUUGCAUUAGUUUUAAGUAACACAAUGACAAAAGCUGAAAAACCAAGCUAGUAAUCUUAUGCAAUAGUUAAUUAUUACCAGUAGGUGGCAGCAAUUUAUCUGCAGUAUCUUCCAUUGGCUUUAUAGAUUACCUUCUGUAUUUCCUAAAAGGUGUAUAUUAAACUGGUUACUUGGGUAUUCUCUGUGUAGAAGGCUUUAGCCCGGUUGGCCCAGCGGGAACCACCCUCAGAUGAUGGGGAUGAGACCGGCUGCGAUGGGCCCCGAAGGAGCUUCCAAUAUGAGUCCUGGAAUGGGGUCUGAGAAUGGAGCAAUGAGGUAUCCCCAUCCCGGACAACUUGGGAUCCGACCCGACUUGGACCCCUCGAAACAGCAGCAGCAGCAGCAGCACCAGCAGCAGCAGCAGCAGCAGCAGCAGCAGCAGCAGCAGCAGCAGCAGCAGCAUUCUCCUAUGGGUGCUCAGUUGGGACAGUCUCCCGUGUACAGCGUUGGUGGGGUGUUCGACGGGCCGAACAGCAAGAGGCGGCGAUUUUAGAUUUAUCGCCACAAAUCACGGACAUUGACAGAAACCGUUUCUAUUUUUAUAUGGCUUUGCUUUUAUUACUUAUUUAUAUACAUGUGGUGUUUUCGGUGUUGGCAUCCUGGUCUCCUCACACGAACAUUUGUUACUGAGAAUCCUAAGUUCUUUUCUUUAUUGGACAAGAAUAGCUUAAUGGUGGCUGUAACUUCAGAUUCCCAUCACUUGGAAUAUGGAACCAGUGAGAACGAGUAAUAAAGUCUGAAGUUUAAGUCCUGGUCCACCUUUUUGUGUUGCUUCAGAUAUUCUAAUCAGAUUCUAGGUCUCUUCCCUUUCUAAAUAAAGGAGGUUAUUAAUUUGUUUGUUUUUUAAGAAAGAAUUAAAAAAAAAAAUUAUGGUUUGAAAAGAUUGAGAAAUGUAGGUAAGGUAUUAAUUUUUGUAUGCAGAUUCUACCUGUGAGGGAUGAGUGAAGAGUGCCCCAUAAUAAUGUCAUGUCUUAUUAUCUGUAUUAUGUCCAUUUCAUUGGCAGCUUCAGCACUGCUUGACGCUUUGCUGCUCUGAAAUCAGAAAAAUAGAUGUUUUAAAGAAUUAAAGAAAUGUAUUGCAAAUGU
rnacentral:lncRNA from 1 species